rnacentral:rRNA from 1 species
CACGUAGGUGGCGAGCGUUAUCCGGAUUUACUGGGCGUAAAGGGUGUGCAGGCGGCCUGUUAAGUGGCGUAUGAAAUAUCCCGGCUCAACCGGGAGAGGUCAUGCCAGACUGGCAGUCUAGAGAGCGAGAGAGGGACGUGGAAUUCCGGGUGUAGUGGUGAAAUGCGUAGAGAUCCGGAGGAACCCCAGAGGCGAAGGCGGCGUCCUGGCUCGCAUCUGACGCUCAGACACGACAGCAUGGGGAGCGAACGGG